rnacentral:lncRNA from 1 species
UAUAUAUUACAUGUUGCAUUCAUGCAUGUAGGUAGGCGUACUAUUUUUAUAUUUUUAUAUAUACAUACAUACAUUAUAUAUGUUUAUAUAUGUGUAUAUAUCCAUAUGCAUCUAUAUAAAAAUGUGGCAGUUGAGAUGGUAUAUAAAAUUUUAAACUAUACCUAGCCCGAUUUUGGGUUCGGGCUGAAAAAUGACCAAGCCAUGCCCAUCUCUAUUGACC